rnacentral:lncRNA from 1 species
UCUGACACCUUUCCAAAGUAAAGCAGACUCCCUUUGCCGAGAAGAAUCAGCUUGUCGAACUUAAGGAAGAGUCUGCUUGAUGGCUGGUGAAUUGUGGUAACCACUGUUUUGCCAGCCUGCCAUGAUGACAAAUUGGACACGCGGUAACUCACAAGUCCUUAAUCUUUAGUAUACUAAAUUACUUAUAUGUAGGGUUAAUUGUGAGAAAAUAACAUAACAUUUAUCUGAAUUUGUAAUUUUCGCAUGAUUUUUUAACGUUGCAAUUACAACACCUUCGUUUUAAUUUUAGCAAUUACAUAUCCCCAAUAUUUUGAUUACUCCAUGUCUGAUAUUUAUCUCGAAAAUGAUCUAGUUUUAUUGCUGGAAAAACUGAGGAUGUUGUAAUUGCAAAUUAAAUAAUUAUAAGGUGGUGUUAUAAUUGCAAUGUUUUGAAAGUCGUGUAAAAAUUUCAAAUUUGCUGUGUUAUUUCAGGAUAUUAACCCCAUGUAUGUAUAUGACCACAGAAUAACAUAUUGAUGUUAAUCGUUGGAACAGAAUUAUGGCUGUCUAUUUGUACCUCGGCUAUAUCGUGCAAUGUGUCCACAAUCCUCAAAGCAGUAGUGGAAUCCAGGCCUGAGGUGGGUUCAUCUAGGAACAAGAGGGACGGGUUGAUAAUUAUCUCGUUUCCGAUGCACACACGCUUCCUUUCUCCACCCGAGACUCCCCGGACGAAGGAGCCGCCAAUCAUGGUGUCUUGGCAGCUGGUGACAUACAUUGCUGAAAGGUCAGUCAAUUUCACAAAUAUCUGUUCAUAGCUAACAAACUAGCUAGCUAGUUACCUCUCUAGUCCCAGCUCGUAUAUAACAUCCGAUGCCCUUUGAUCUUUUUCCUCUUUCGUCAAAGUCUUUGGAAGCCGUAGCCGAGCUGCAUACGUCAGCGUCUCCCUCACUGUAAGAUGAGGAAAAAGAACAUCGUCUUGAGUCACGAACCCUAUCCUGUGAUAUUUUCAAUGUCAUUACUUGCUUGAUGCCAAGAAUUCCAUAUCAAAGUAGUUCCAAGUUUUUUUAUUUUUUAUGUUUUUGAGUUGGGGGAAAGGGUAGUCCACUGUUUGGGAAGGGACAAAGAGUAGAUAGGUACCUGCACUUUAGGGACUUGGAAUAUGCUUGAUCGUUGUAUGUGAUCGAGCCACCGUGGGCGGGUUCUGUGACUCUCCCUCCCAGUAGACUCAGCAAUGAAGUCUUUCCACUCCCAGAUGGCCCCAUGAGGGCCAAAACUUCCCCUGGAGCAACAUAGCCAUUGAUCCCAUACAAAAUAUCUUUCUCCACCGUCGACGUCAUGUUUUUUAGGAUCACCUUGUAAGUUACAUCUGUGAACUGCACAUUUUUAGGAGACGAAAAUAUAUGAUGUGUUGUUUAAGGUCAUUGCAAGAAAACUGUGGGACUACACACACUACUGCAUCAUCAUUCUAUUUCUGGCCUAAGAUCAUAUAAGAUGCAUGUUUUUGUGUACAUUGCAUUUGUUAUACUAUUUGUUUGAAAGCAGGUUGUAGGGAAGUCUUGUACAAAAAUGCCAUGGAAAAUGAGAUUCUGUACAAGACUGAACCUGAUGACAUAAUAGCAUAAUGAUUUGAGUUGCAUUGAUCUCAAGCUAGAUAAACACCUCCAUCUCUUUAAUCUCCCUGUCCAAAUAGAUGGUGUCACACAUCAAUCUGUGGAUCCUUCUAGAAAGUACCCGGCUGGGACCGACCGUGUUUCGACACGUGUACUCUAUCUCGAAAGACAAAUGAAAGAGAUUUAUUGAGUAUUUGUGUGUAUGUUACCUUGAGGUAGAUUGGUAUUGUGGGUUCUGUUUGGAGUCUCUUCUUUUGCCUGCCUGCCUCAAGAUCUUCAGCUGCAACCAUUUUAUCAGACAACUAAUUAUUUGUCGUGACACAGAAU